GCUCCCGUAGUUUAAUGGAUAAAAUAUUGGUUUGCGGUACCAGUGCUCCAGGUUCGAUUCCUGGCGGGAGCA
rnacentral:tRNA from 1 species